AGUAAAGUAAAAGGGACCACCAGGCAAGUAGGAGGAGAACCAAGGGGAACUGGCAUCCUGGAAACCUUAUGAAGAAAAUGUCAAAGUGGAAGAGAUUAGUUGUUAAAAGCUGAUGACAGAGAAAUAGGAAGCCAGAUCAUCAGCAGAGGGGUGAUGGUGUGGGAGGUUUGAGGGCAUGGAAUCAUUAUCUGAGAUGAAGAUUGAAUGGACUAUGAAGAGAAUGAUUGCUGGAGAAGGGUUCCCUUGAAGUUAGGGAUUAUGGAAUAGAAGGAAGACAGGUGAGGAAGUGAGGACUUGAUGGAGACAAGGGACAAUGAAAAGCAUGUUGGGAUCAAUGGAUUGUGGGCAAAGUACUCAUGGAAUGUGUACUUGAGGACGGGAG